CGGCGUGCCUAAUACAUGCAAGUCGAACGCUUCACAUCGGUGAAGAGUGGCGAACGGGUGAGUAAUACAUAAGUAACCUGGCAUCUACAGGGGGAUAACUGAUGGAAACGUCAGCUAAGACCGCAUAGGUGUAGAGAUCGCAUGAACUCUAUAUGAAAAGUGCUACGGGACUGGUAGAUGAUGGACUUAUGGCGCAUUAGCUUGUUGGUAGGGUAACGGCCUACCAAGGCGACGAUGCGUAGCCGACCUGAGAGGGUGACCGGCCACACUGGGACUGAGACACGGCCCAGACUCCUACGGGAGGCAGCAGUAGGGAAUUUUCGGCAAUGGGGGAAACCCUGACCGAGCAACGCCGCGUGAAGGAAGAAGUAAUUCGUUAUGUAAACUUCUGUCAUAGAGGAAGAACGGUGGAUAUAGGGAAUGAUAUCCAAGUGACGGUACUCUAUAAGAAAGCCACGGCUAACUACGUGCCAGCAGCCGCGGUAAUACGUAGGUGGCGAGCGUUAUCCGGAAUUAUUGGGCGUAAAGAGGGAGCAGGCGGCACUAAGGGUCUGUGGUGAAAGACCGAAGCUUAACUUCGGUAAGCCAUGGAAACCGUAGAGCUAGAGUGUGUGAGAGGAUCGUGGAAUUCCAUGUGUAGCGGUGAAAUGCGUAGAUAUAUGGAGGAACACCAGUGGCGAAGGCGACGAUCUGGCGCAUAACUGACGCUCAGUCCCGAAAGCGUGGGGAGCAAAUAGGAUUAGAUACCCUAGUAGUCCACGCCGUAAACGAUGAGUACUAAGUGUUGGGGGGGGUCAAACCUCAGUGCUGCAGUUAACGCAAUAAGUACUCCGCCUGAGUAGUACGUUCGCAAGAAUGAAACUCAAAGGAAUUGACGGGGGCCCGCACAAGCGGUGGAGCAUGUGGUUUAAUUCGAAGCAACGCGAAGAACCUUACCAGGUCUUGACAUCGAUCUAAAGGCUCCAGAGAUGGAGAGAUAGCUAUAGAGAAGACAGGUGGUGCAUGGUUGUCGUCAGCUCGUGUCGUGAGAUGUUGGGUUAAGUCCCGCAACGAGCGCAACCCCUGUUGCCAGUUGCCAGCAUUAAGUUGGGGACUCUGGCGAGACUGCCGGUGACAAGCCGGAGGAAGGCGGGGAUGACGUCAAAUCAUCAUGCCCCUUAUGACCUGGGCUACACACGUGCUACAAUGGACAGAGCAGAGGGAAGCGAAGCCGCGAGGUGGAGCGAAACCCAUAAAACUGUUCUCAGUUCGGACUGCAGUCUGCAACUCGACUGCACGAAGAUGGAAUCGCUAGUAAUCGCGAAUCAGCAUGUCGCGGUGAAUACGUUCUCGGGCCUUGUACACACCGCCCGUCACACCAUGAGAGUCGGUAACACCCGAAGCCGGUGGCCUAACCGCAAGGAAGGAGCUGUCUAAGGUGGGACUGAUGAUUGGGGUGAAGUCGUA
rnacentral:rRNA from 1 species